AUUCCCAUUUGAUCUCCAUGGACUUUGAUGACGGGUCACCACUCUCAUUCAGAUGAAAUUCUUUGGAGAGAACUUUAUUUUCAAAAGAAACAAAGAAGAGGAGGCUGGACCAAGAAUCUGGUGGAGGCAUAGGCAGCUUGAAAGCAGCGGCUUCAUUUGCUACUCCAGCGUGCUUCUUCAGGAAAGGAAGACACAGCUUCAGAGUGUUCAUAUAAGAUUCAGUGUGCAAUUACC
rnacentral:lncRNA from 1 species